rnacentral:rRNA from 6 species
AGAGUUUGAUCAUGGCUCAGAUUGAACGCUGGCGGCAGGCCUAACACAUGCAAGUCGAACGGUAACAGGAAGCAGCUUGCUGCUUUGCUGACGAGUGGCGGACGGGUGAGUAAUGUCUGGGAAACUGCCUGAUGGAGGGGGAUAACUACUGGAAACGGUAGCUAAUACCGCAUAACGUCGCAAGACCAAAGAGGGGGACCUUCGGGCCUCUUGCCAUCGGAUGUGCCCAGAUGGGAUUAGCUUGUUGGUGGGGUAACGGCUCACCAAGGCGACGAUCCCUAGCUGGUCUGAGAGGAUGACCAGCCACACUGGAACUGAGACACGGUCCAGACUCCUACGGGAGGCAGCAGUGGGGAAUAUUGCACAAUGGGCGCAAGCCUGAUGCAGCCAUGCCGCGUGUAUGAAGAAGGCCUUCGGGUUGUAAAGUACUUUCAGCGGGGAGGAAGGGAGUAAAGUUAAUACCUUUGCUCAUUGACGUUACCCGCAGAAGAAGCACCGGCUAACUCCGUGCCAGCAGCCGCGGUAAUACGGAGGGUGCAAGCGUUAAUCGGAAUUACUGGGCGUAAAGCGCACGCAGGCGGUUUGUUAAGUCAGAUGUGAAAUCCCCGGGCUCAACCUGGGAACUGCAUCUGAUACUGGCAAGCUUGAGUCUCGUAGAGGGGGGUAGAAUUCCAGGUGUAGCGGUGAAAUGCGUAGAGAUCUGGAGGAAUACCGGUGGCGAAGGCGGCCCCCUGGACGAAGACUGACGCUCAGGUGCGAAAGCGUGGGGAGCAAACAGGAUUAGAUACCCUGGUAGUCCACGCCGUAAACGAUGUCGACUUGGAGGUUGUGCCCUUGAGGCGUGGCUUCCGGAGCUAACGCGUUAAGUCGACCGCCUGGGGAGUACGGCCGCAAGGUUAAAACUCAAAUGAAUUGACGGGGGCCCGCACAAGCGGUGGAGCAUGUGGUUUAAUUCGAUGCAACGCGAAGAACCUUACCUGGUCUUGACAUCCACGGAAGUUUUCAGAGAUGAGAAUGUGCCUUCGGGAACCGUGAGACAGGUGCUGCAUGGCUGUCGUCAGCUCGUGUUGUGAAAUGUUGGGUUAAGUCCCGCAACGAGCGCAACCCUUAUCCUUUGUUGCCAGCGGUCCGGCCGGGAACUCAAAGGAGACUGCCAGUGAUAAACUGGAGGAAGGUGGGGAUGACGUCAAGUCAUCAUGGCCCUUACGACCAGGGCUACACACGUGCUACAAUGGCGCAUACAAAGAGAAGCGACCUCGCGAGAGCAAGCGGACCUCAUAAAGUGCGUCGUAGUCCGGAUUGGAGUCUGCAACUCGACUCCAUGAAGUCGGAAUCGCUAGUAAUCGUGGAUCAGAAUGCCACGGUGAAUACGUUCCCGGGCCUUGUACACACCGCCCGUCACACCAUGGGAGUGGGUUGCAAAAGAAGUAGGUAGCUUAACCUUCGGGAGGGCGCUUACCACUUUGUGAUUCAUGACUGGGGUGAAGUCGUAACAAGGUAACCGUAGGGGAACCUGCGGUUG